GCCCAGACUCCUACGGGAGGCAGCAGUGGGGAAUAUUGGGCAAUGGAGGCAACUCUGACCCAGCAACGCCGCGUGAGCGAUGAAGGUCUUCGGAUUGUAAAGCUCUUUAAGUGGGGACGAAGAAAGUGACUGUACCCACAGAAUAAGCCUCGGCUAACUACGUGCCAGCAGCCGCGGUAAUACGUAGGAGGCAAGCGUUAUCCGGAAUGACUGGGCGUAAAGGGUGCGUAGGUGGUUUGGCAAGUUGGUAGCGUAAUUCCGGGGCUCAACCUCGGAUCUACUACCAAAACUGUCGGGCUUGAGUGCAGGAGGGGUAAAUGGAAUUCCUAGUGUAGCGGUGGAAUGCGUAGAGAUUAGGAAGAACACCAGCGGCGAAGGCGAUUUACUGGACUGUAACUGACACUGAGGCACGAAAGCGUGGGGAGCAAACAGGAUUAGAUACCCGAGUAA
rnacentral:rRNA from 1 species